AUGGCGUCCCCGUCGUGGGUCAUCCUGAGCCGGAAGGCGACCGCGCCCGCCGCCGGCGACGACGGCCUCCCGCAGGCCGCCGCGCUCUCCCUCGCCCUCGCCGCGCCGCCGCGGGUCACCACCGUCAAGCUGCGCCCGGCCGCCUGCACCGUCGAGCCGGACCCCGCCUGCAGGCACAAGUCCCCCUGCGUCCUCGCCGCCGACCCCUCCGGCCUCCUCCUCCUCCUCACCCCGCCGCCCCUCUCCGAGCGGGACGACGGGGAGCUGCGCACCAGCCGUGACGCCAGAGGCGUCGAGCGCACCAUCCGCAUCGGCCGUGUCCCCAGGCCGCGCUACGUCGUCUGCGACCUCUCCUCCGCCACCGCCACCGCCUCGCCCGUCCCCGACCCCCACGAUCUCAUCUUCAACAACGACCUCGGCGUCAUCGCCGCGCCAGGGGGCGGCGGCCAAUUCAUGGUGGUCGAGUUCCAGACCAUCGUCGGCGGCCGCGAAGCCACCCUCCUCUGCUUCUCGUCCGAGAGCGGCAAGUGGGCCAGGAAGAAGGUCGCCAACCCCCUGCCGCGUUGGAUGUGGACCUUCUCCGACAUCGUCUCCCACGGCGGCAAGCUCUGGUGGGUGGAUUGCGUGGCGGGCCUUCUCGCGUGCGAUCCCUUCGCCGAUGAGCCGGCCAUGGAGUAUGUCCAGCUCCCGAGAGAGCUCGGCUCCCGCCGCGUCGUGCAGGUCAGCAACGGCGUCUUCCGGUGCGUCGAGAUGAGCUGUGCAAGCCACGGCGCUCCCAAGGUUUCCAUGCGCACGCUGGCUGACCCGAGCACCGCAGAAUGGACGUUUGAGUACGAGGCGAGCUUUUCUGAGAUCUGGGCCGGUGACUCGUACAAGGCGGCGGGGCUGCCGAAGAAGGCUCCCGUACUCGCUCUCGUCCACCCCAACAAUCCAGACGUGGUAUACUUCUUCCUGCAACAGCGCCUCUUCGGCGUCAACAUGCGCGCUAGGGAGGUCGUGGAGUGCGAGCCCUUGGACCCGGCCAAGUCGCAGAAGAAAGGCAGCUACUCUUCCGGGCUGCUACUCUUCCGGGCUCGUUUUCCCAUUUGA
rnacentral:rRNA from 1 species